GGUGUCUCAGGUGAAGCGGCUGUUUCUAAACCGUUUCAUUGGCAGUUCUCACACUCUAAGGAUUUCCCUAUUACGGAAGAUCCGAACAGUUUUGCUCACUUGGUGAGGCACUUCAAACCUGCUGGAUGUCCGCUUCCUUCUUUACAAAAUAUGACGGAACGCGAGGUUUAUGUAAAAAUGGCAGUGGUUCAUGCUAAGGUCGUUCUUUUUGACACUCGAUCCUUGCUGAAUCUUUGGUUCGUUUUCUCUGUGCUGAUUUGCUACAUUCCAGGCUAUGGAGGCUAACAACGAGUUCACAGCGACUUUGGAAAAGCGCAUGCAAGAUGUCUCGGGCUCUGACGAGCUUUACGAGAUAAAGAAGGUCGUUCAAGAGCUAAAACUCGGUUUGAAGAUGGCUCAAGAUCCAGAACGUGAAAAUGCCGCUCAACUGGCCGCUGCUGAGAAAUUGGGGAAUCAGGCUGCUUCGCUCGAAGCUCGUCUGCGAGUUGUGAGUAAUGAGAGGAAAUCGGCCCUCGAGCAAGUUUCCUUUUUGGAAGCGAAGGUUGAAUCUUCUGCUAAUAAGUUCUUUGACGACUUCGUCGCACAACUUAUGACGCUAAAAAAGGCUCUAGCGGACAACUACUUGGACGUGUUGGUAUCUUUGAAGGAAAAGUGGGAGAAGAAGAAGGCUGCAACUGAUUAUGAAGCUCGUCUUAGGGAUGUUAUGGUAAAUAUAGAUCUCUUGAAGGAAAUCAUGAACAACAAUCUUUUGGCCUCGGACGAGUUGUUGCGACUUCGAACGAAGGAGGUCGAGCUCGGGUCCGAGCUCGAUGUGAUGGCGGAUUUGGAUUUUUCCGUUGGAAAGCUCGAUUUGCCUAAAAUUUCGAAGGAUCUGCCAGAAGAUUUCUUUGCUAGGGACUCUUCUGCGGCGAAUGGUACGAAUGACGUGACGAAGUGCUCGGGUGGUCAAUUCGAGAAUGGCGAAUUCGGCAUCGAAGAGUAGCUUUAGGGGUUUUUUGUUUAUGUUUUCCCUUUUCGCUUUUGUUGCUUUAUUUAUUAUUUAUUAAUAAAGAGUGGAUCGUGAGUCCCGAUUUGUUUUGCCGUUAUUUUUGAGCUUAUGCGAGGCCAAUCUUUUGGGGCCGUGAGUCGAUCUGCUGUAGAUACUUUUAUCGACUGUUUUGGUGUAACAAAAUAUUUUGUUAUCUAACUUUGUCACGCUUGUUGGCGGAGUUGGCCGCAACCGAAGACUUGAUCAAGGUCUUGGUUUUAGGUCAACUGUAAUGGUUUUGCGAUUUGUAGAUAUAGGGAAUCUGAUAUGCUCGAGCUGCGAUAUCUAAGAACUGUAUUUAUUAAGAUGUUUGGUUUUGUUUUAUUACAGAUUUGUGAAAAGAAGACAGUUUAGUAUUAUCGUGUCGUUGUUCACCGUCUGCGGUGGUAUGCUUACUCCGAGCUGUUGUAGUUGGAGGGUGACUGGACUCGUGUCAUGAGUUGUCUACGUACCCUCAACGAGGGAUCAAGUCAUAAUGUAGUUCGAUUAUUUUCCCUGAGACAGGGUCUGUUGGUCGGUGGUUCGUGUAUUGGUGGUUUUGGCCGCUCGGCUAGGGGUGUUGCUCGAUGUCUUUGAAGCUUGCGAGGUAGCAUGUUCUGGAGCUCUUCUGACUUCCUCUGAUAGUCUCGACUCCUUUCGGGGAUGGAAAUUUUAGGCAUUGGUGAUAUGUUGAAGGAACUGCCUUCAUGCUAUAUAGCCAAGGCCUCCCAAGGAUUGCGUUGAACGGGGCUGCACAGUCUAUCACGAUGAAUUCUACGAUUUUCCUAAUUUCUCCGGCGGUUACUGCGAGUUCGAUUGACCCGAGGGAAUAGGUGGUCUCUCAUACGAAUCCGAUGAGGGGUGUUCGUUCUUGUUUUAGGAGUGCUUUGGUGAAUCUCAUUCUUUUGAACGCGUCGUAGAAGAGGACAUCAGCCGAGCUUCCGGUGUCGAACAUUACUCGAGAUAGUUCGCAGCCGCUGACGUCGAGUCGUAUUACGAGAGCAUCGUCAUGUGGUUUAUCGAGAUUUGCGGUCUCGUUUUCGUCGAAGGUGAUUUCAUAAUCGGGACCUGAUAGGGGCUCUCUUAUUCCUACGCUGUUUUCGGCUCUUCGUUGGUACGCUUUGAAAGAGUUGACAGAAUUGCAGAACUUGGAGCCUCCGUAAAUGAAGUCGAUUCAUCUUUUGCCUUUGUAGUGGGCCGGGAGAUUCCAUCCCUUAGUCAAUGGUGGUCGGUAGCGUCUCUGCCCCCCAGACAGAUUGCGAUUAAGGGUCUGUAUUCUGUCUUUUUUCUGAAUCUGUAGGGCAAUCGAUUUUUCUAAUAGCUCGCGAAUUUUGGUCAUUUUGUUCUUUCGUUUGAAGUUGGGGAUUUUUCCGCGAGGGGACUCUGUGUUUGGGUUGUACUGAGUGACGCUGGGAGGGGGAGUGGCUUCAUCGGUUUUUUCUAAUGUGCGGAUUGCUAUUGUGAUCUCGAAACGAAUUUUCCCUUCAGUCUGGCUCUUGAUUUCGUCGGUUGCGUUGUUGUUUGGCCCCCACGAAAUCAUGUCGACUCUUUUCUUCGGACUCCCUGCCUCUUUUGUUUGUUGGGACUUUGGCCUUUCGGUUGGAUUUUGGAGUCACUGGCUCUUCUUCUUCUUCUCCGGCUUCUUCAGUGGUUUUCUUAUUUUCGUUUUGACUAUGAAGUGCGGCUCGACAUUCUUCGGUCGAGUGGCCCUUGCGAUCAUGGAAGGCGCAGUAUUUGCUGAGGUCGUAUGUUGAAGACUUUUGCGGUGAAUUAUUUAUUGCAUAGGAAUGUUACCCUUUGGUGGUUGGCUCUUUAGGAGUAGCAGGUCUUUUGGUUGCGUUGUUCUUGUUCGCGCAAUACUGUUCUUUCAAGGCUGCGACCUCCUCCUCAUGGGUGGCGAAAUAAGAGGCUCGGCGUAGGGCGUCAUCCAACGAGAUAGGUGCUCGUACUACCAAUUCUUCCCUGAACUUGGAUGAGAACCAGACGCCGUUCUUUCAUGCCGCGAGGGCAACGACCUCGUUUGGAUGUGAGAUCUUGGCCUUGAUUUCUCGGAAUUUGUUUAUGUAUGCUCUUAAUGGCUCGAAAGGCGCUUGUUUGAGAUUCCAUAGAUCUGCUUCGGUAACUCUUGUCUUUAUGAAGACUGAGUACUGUUUGAGGAAAGUAUAUACCAACUGGGUGAAAUUGUCGAUUGAAUUUUCUUCUAGUCCUGCGAACCACUCGAGGGUGGCCCCGGUGAGGUUCUCGGUGAAGAAGCGGCAGUAACCUGCUUCUUUUUCGUCGUCAGUGAGUUGUUCUCUUGAUAUUACUAAAUGGAAGGCUCGUACAUGGGCCUUCGGGUCUGUGUUUCCGGUGUAUUAGGGGAAUUUCAGUUUCCCGACGUGAUGCAGCCUUACGCUGGCAAUUCUGUUUGUGAAUGGAGUCCUUCUCGUUUCCUCGAUGACCAUGUCGAUAUCGGGGGAAGAGCUCGUUGCCAUAUGCACGAUCGCAUGUAUCCUUUUGAGCUCGGCGUCGUUCCUUUCGAUAUAAUUCUGAAACUUCCUAGUUUCGCUCGGGAUCCCUAAGUCUUCCCAUUGGGGGUCGAUAUUGACGGGACCGCGAAUAUCGUGUCUCCGAGCUUGUUUCGUUAGGUUAUUGAAUCCCGCUUGAUGGAAGGUCCUCGUUACGGAUGGAGUUUGAUUCUCGAAGAUAGAAUGGUUCGGUGGUGGGAUCCGUGUCCUUGGCUCCCCUUGCCUUUCCGUUGAUCCGUUCUGGAAUUGGAUCGGAGUGCUUCGUGGGCGUUGGAGCCCAUUGUCGAUUUCGUCCAAUCCAUUUUAGCUUAAGCUUCGGUGGGUCAUGCUUUGCGGCGGGGGUCGUUGUGAAUUUUCUCCCGUGUAGCGUCCAGAUCGAGCGCUUGGGAUCUAUGGAGUACCGAACAGUCCGGUGCUUUGGGGGUUUGACGUCGCUCUUAACGGAUCGAGGGGCGUUUGAUUUCUUUCUCGAGUGGUUGCAGCUCGAUGCUCUGCGAGUUCCCUUUCAACUUGGUCCAGUCUGUUAGCAAUGGUUUGAUUGGCGAUCCUUAGACUACGAAUUUCGUCGAUUAGAGUCGUCAUCAUUCCUCGAAGUUCGGUUAAUUAUCCUCGAGUUUGGGCUAGAGGAGUCGGCGAAAUCGGUCUGGAUUGGGAUCAGGUCAGGUCAUCAGAGGAUUGUCUGUCUCCGGAAUGGUUCCAGACUCGAGCUCCAGCUCGUUCCGGGAUUGACGUCUGGUUGAUCGGAGGAGAUCGAUCUUGACUCGAAGUCCCGAUUGGAGGGAUUCGUUGCGUCUGGGCUGUUUCGGUCGUGUCAUUUGCUCCCGUUAACCCAGUUGGUGUCACUCCGUUUCCCGAGUCGGGUCCGAUAGGAUCGAUGUCGUUGACUCUUGAAGGUGCGGUUCCGGUGGUUUGGUUAGGAUCCAUAGUCGCGCUUAAGAAACUUAGAUCGGUUUCCUAGCAAAGAUAUUUUUCGUUUAUCUUCCCCACAGUUGGCGCCAAAAUGUAGAACCUAAAAUCUACACUAAGUAUUUGAUAGUGAUCGGAAGUUUGAUCUAGGGAAGACAAAAGAUGUAGGCAACGAUAUCUUUAGAACACAACGAUGUUAACAGUUUCCAGUAGACAAAAAUAGAUUUUAUUGAUGAAUAGGAUCGAAUACAAUAAGUUGAACUAGAUCGAAUUACACAAGUGAGAUCGGUACAGAAAAGGAUCUAAGAACAGGAGAAAACAAGGUCGAUGUAUGUGUGUAGCUCUCUCUAGGGUUUUCAACGUCUCCCUCUUCAUGUCCCUUCUUCUUCCUUUACAGUAAGUCGACCUCGUGAUGUUCGUAACGGUUACGAGAUCUCCGUCUCUUGUUCCGCGAUCUCCGACGACCUCGACGACUCUUCUUCAAACUCGACUAUUUGCUAUGGGCUUCAGCUCCUUAAGGCCCAUGUCUUUGAUCGCGGCCGGUUAAGGUAUUACCCAAAAUUGGGUCCAACACAGAUCAUCAAUGAUCCAACCAAGUUCUGUGUCGCCCAUUGAGGAGUUUCACACUGCAUCUGUGAAGAUCGAGCAUAGAUCGGGGAAUCUGGGGUGUUGUUCAAUUCUGAUCAAAGGCAUCGACGGUUUCAGAUUUCAGGGGGGUUGAGCCAUCAUCCAUUAUCUGGCGUCGGAGAUAGCUUUCUGGAAUGUUUCUACAGGGGCAAAGCUCCGUUUUUCAAAGAUGAGAUGGUUCCUUGAGCGCCAGAGAGACCAACAGAUCCAUGCUGAUAGAGUUCCUACUCCGAUUUCCACUGGUGGCAAAGAAGGUAUUUUUUGAACCAUUUCCCAUCCCUCAUGGAAGUUAUUGAAAGUAUGAGGGUUGAUACAGCUUGAUGUUGGAGAUAAUGUCCAUACCUUUUCUGCAUAGGGACACUGCAACAGGAGGUGCGUCACUGAUUCUUGUACAUUGCAUCUUGCAUAGAGAGCAGAGAUAGGUAUGUUUCGAUCGAAAAUUAUUUUCCUACUGGGAUUUCCAGAUGAAGACUUUGAUUUUUUUUCUGAUGUUUUUGUUCUAGACUAGAGAGCCAGUCGGGUACAGCAGCUUGGUAUGUGGGGAGUGUCUCGGAGCUCUUUUCUGUGAUUUCAGGUAACCUGACCGUGUAGAGUAUUCUCCAGAUGGUUUUUAAGCCAGACUAAAGCAUCAGCGACUCUUAGUUUGCUAGGUCUUAUCUUUAGGAUUUGUUCCCUAAGGAAAGAUAAACUAAGCUCGAACUUUUCUAUGUCCCAUUAAGAAGUACCUGGCAGGAGCAGAUCAGAGACUUUGAGUUGUUGUAAUGCCUCUGGUGCUGGUCAAAAAGGAUUAAGCUGCUCGCAGUGUGAGAGCCACAGAUCAUCCCAAACAUUAAUUGACUCUCCUAUUCCCACCAUCCAUCCCAGCUGCUUAGUAAGGAGAUCUCUGCCUAUUAAAACGCUUCUUCAUCCAUGCGAGGAAGAAGAAGACGCAUGACAUUUCAAAAAAGGUUUCGAGUGACAAUAUUUUUCAGAGUACGCAGCGUGCAAGGAGACAAGUAGGAUUCUUUAAAAUACGUCAGCUAAUCUUCGCCAGUAGCGCAUUGUCGAAGGAGGUAACAUCUUUAAAAUCCAAUCCACCUUUUCUAGCCAUUUUAUCCCAAGAUAUUCAUGAUACUUUCUUUUUCCCAGGUUCUAUGUCUCACCAGAAUCUGGAAAGAGUUGAUUGGAUACUCUAGGAAAUGGAUUGUGGGAGUUUGAAGCAGGACGUAGUGUGGGAAGACAUUGGUGCCAAGACGCUUUUCAUCAUAAUCAUCUUCUUUGUAUUAGAUAAGAACUUUGUAGACCAGCUAGCUGCUCUCUGCUAAAUCAUGUCGACAACAAAGGCAAACAAAUCUUUCUUUUCACUACCAAAGUAUUCAGGGAGCCCCAUGUAUUUUACCUACUCUGCCUUCUUUUUCUCUUCCAAGGACUGAUUUCAUCAAUGCCCGCGCAUCAGGACUUGUUCUUUUGGAAAAGAAAAUUGAUGAUUUCUGCUUGUUAAUUACUAAUUAGUUGUCCAGAGACUAAAAAGAGUUAUACCUCAGAGUUCCUACUUCAAUUUACAAUAAUGACGAAAUGUGUAUUUUCAUAAAACCAUAAAAAAAUAAACACUGCACUUUUAUUUUAUUAUAAAAAACAGAGGAUAACAUUUUAUUUAGAGUUCAACGGUCACACCGCUUAGCUAGUGACUGAUCUAGACACUAACUAUUAAGCUCGAAACUACAUAGAUGCACUCGCAUUGGCGUCAUAUUCGUGGACUAACAUUAAAUUCCUCCCCACUGGUUCUUCCCAAAACUCAGACAUAUUUGUAUUAACAGGGUAGGUAAUAAGUUCACGAAUGUUCAUGGGUUGGAUAACGUUUGGAUUGGCUCCAAAGAGAAGAUGAGCGAACUGUUCCUGUGCCUUCUCUGAGUUGUGACGUCCAUCGAAGAAAAGAUAAGAUCUUUGAUACUCACAUAGCUUUGAGCGCACGUUAGGUCUACCGCAACCGAAGGCGUUGUGCGACCCUAUACCGCAGCACGAUACAUUCGUAAAGGAGUAACCUAGUCAGUCACAACAAGUAUUAUCAAAUACUAGUUCCAAAUAUCUUAUAUUAACUAUUACUCGUGUGUAUAUUUUGUAACGGUAAAUUACAUAAUACUUACGGAAAUUCAUGUUUCUUUGUGUCCUGCGAAGAAUGACAUUGUAGAAAUCGAAAACUGUGAACUGGAAACCCGAUCUGGCUCUCGCUAGAUCGUUCAGCAUCGGUCCGAGUCUAGCGUUGUGUUGUUUAGCCAAAUCAUUCAAUUUCUCGUAACAGUCGUUUCCAGUGUUAAACUCCUGUCUCACGAUAGGAAAGCAACCCAGUGCUGGUAACGUAUAUACGGCGAAUUUACUAGCUCCCGACGAAUACAACAUCUGCAAUAUUCACAUUAAUUAUAGUGUAACAAAUAUCAUUAAUAUACUACUAACUAAUUUUCUCAUUACUUUAAAAUUGAAAGUACUUACCUCGAUAUUGUUUCUUAGUCGGCUAAUGACUGAAAUGACAAAAGCUUGUUGAGCAGAACCAUCGGCGGUAGGGUUGUUUUUCGUGAAGUUAUAGUAAUCUUCCAUACCAAUGGAUAUCAUAAACAAUGAUUUCGUGAUGUAAUCUUCUUUCCAAUUUGAUAUCAUCUGAUUAAAUCUCCUCACUUGGUUAUUCAGAUUCAACUAUAAAAAAAAUUAAAACCAUGCAUUAAAGACAUUUUUUUUGGACAAACAUUACAGAAUUUUGCUUAUAAUUAUUUAACAAAAAAUAAUAACAAUACUAAAAAAUAAAAAUGAUGAGAGUACUAAUCAAUUAUGAAUAACAAUAAUUACUUCCUUUGUUCGCUGCAUUAUAAAUAUACAUAAAUAAUUAAGGAAACUUACAGAGUCUCUGGCAGUCCCAAGUAUGCUAGCAGAGUCUACAGCAAAGCUAGCUCCUCGUGAGACAUUGGCGCCAGGUUCAAACGCCGGCGGUAAAUCGUGUGGAAUCCCCAUGAAUUUUGCUGUCAUUUUAGUAAAUAAAUAUAUGGUUACUUGAAAACGAAACCAAAAAUAAAUCUAAGUUUUUUUCUUAAUGUUUGAGAGUUCUGUCCCUAUCUUUAUUUCAUUUUUUUUUCAAAUGGAACAUGUUCAACAAAUAUUUAAGAAAAGCAUAAUAUAAACUAGGAUCCUUAGUCCGUUGUAUUUCAAGAUUUCACACAUUUAUAAAAUGCUCAAUAUCUUUGAAUUGCUUGUUUAAUUAAACUCGGUUUAAAAUUUUUUACUUAAAACAAUUAACUCACCGAUAAAGUCAGGGACGAUUCUGCCAUCCGAAAACUUGCCACUGGGGUCAUCUCGGGAUUUACCGUAAGGCCAGAAGUUUUGAGGAAAUCUUGUACCUGCGAGGAACAUUCUGUUUCCGGCGUCGAAGUUGGAAUCGCCGAACGUGAACAAUGCCACCGCCGGAAUAUUUUGUCCGGCCACGGUGAUCGGGUCGUGGAACAGAGUGAAUACUAAAACUACCCCUAGAACAUUCGCUAAACUGCAGUUGCAUGCCAUUUUAGUGAAAUAGAGAGUAAUAAGAAAUGUUUGAUAAGUUCCUCGGUGUACUACUAUAUAUUUAUAUAGUAAAAUAUUUGAAACAAAUAUAUUUUAAAAAAGUUUGUUACAGUUAAUCGAACCUAUUUGAAUGACAAGUUUUAUCGAAAGAGCCCUUUCAAGUGACAGCGUUGUGAACGUGGAAGUGUUCACCAUCCAGUCUCACUUUUUUUACAGGUGUUGGAGCAUUUUUAACUCGUUCAGUUAUCAUUCAUUCUAAACUUCAUUCUAAGCAAUAAAAAAUUUGGUAUUUUUUAUACUUUUUGAUAUAGUAUAUAUUAAGAGCAUCUCCAAAAAAUACUCUAUAACUUCAAAUACGAAGUUUUUUGCUCUAAAAAAAAAACUUCAAAACUUCAAAUUUGAAGUUCUGAGGAGUGAAACUUUAUAUUUGAAGUUUCACUUCUCAAAAAUAUUUUUAUUUGUAUUUUGGUCCCUACAAUUACACAUCACAUUUAUAAUUCAUAAAUAUUUUUUUUAUUAUUUUAAUCCUUAUAAAAAUUAUAUCUCAUAAAUAUUUUAUCACAUUUAUAAUUCAUAAAUAUUUUCUUGUUUAUUAUUUUAAUCCUUAUAAAAAUUAUAUCUCAUAAAUAUUUUAAGUUUUGUUUACAAAAUUUAAGUUUACACAAAAUUAAAUAAAACUUUAAAAGAAGAUUUAAAAUAUUUAAAACUAGAUUUAGAUAAUACAUGAAGACAUAACUAUUACAAAAAUUUAAAUAUUACAACAACACUAAUAGUCAUGUAAGUUUGAUUCGGAACCUUCAAAAUUUCCAAAUAUUGUCAAAAUAAAUUUGUGUAAUUGAAGAUGGUUGUUGUUGUUGUUGUUGUUGUUGUUGUUGAUGAUGUCUUUUCGUACAAUUCUUUCUUGCUCCUAUUGAAUAUAUUCACGAGUAUUAAUAUCAUCGAUAAAAGCUAGUAUUUUAGCAAUAUUUUAUGUUUCUCUUUUACUUUCUUGUUCUGAUCUAAUGUAUUUAAAAGUAUUAAUAUUUCCCGAUUUAAACAAUUUUUAUCUCUAAUCUACAAAUUAAAUAUGAAGAGAGCUAUUUUUACUUCGAAAUGCACUAGUAGAUCAUAUUAGCAUUACGAAAAUUACUUUGUGGAAUAAUAUGAUGUUUUGGUUGAAGUUUAAUAUUAAUUAAGUUAUUUUGUUUAAAAUUUUAUAUUUUAAUAUAAAAUUUUAUUAAUUAAUAUUUUUGUAAUAUGUUUAUAUAUGUGCUAGUUAUUUACAAAAAUUUUAUGAAUUCAAAUUAGUUAUGAAAAAUAUAAAGACUAUAUUAUAAAAUACAAAUAGUUUUGAAGUUAAGUUUGAAGUUUUGCUUUUGGAGAAGAACACAUUUAAACUUCAAAUAUAGAGUUUUAGAAACUUCAAAAUAGAGUUCUUUUUUGGAGAUGCUCUAAUUCAAUCCGAGAAUCGAUAAUUUAGAUUCGGUUAUAAACAUGUUUUGAACAAAAUUUUCAAAGUCAGCCUAUUACAACACUAGCUUCGUCCGCUCACACACAUUCCGCUAAUCCGUCUUUCGAAAUUCUUUGGAAUUGAUUACCGUUCUCAGCCAUUGACUAAAAUUUCGAAAAAAUGAGGUUUUCCUCGUUACUUCGGAUGUCGGGACUUCUCAAGUCGUCUCUAAAUCUCGGAGGAUUUCUUCUAUGCUCAAAUCAUGCUGAAUCACAUCAUCGCCUAUUUUCAAUUGUCCUUAUUCUAUUCAGGUAUGGUCUUAUUCAUUCUGGAACCAUUUUGUACCAACCAAGUUGCUUUGAUCUAGUGGUAUAGGAGCUCCAGCUGAAGUGUCCGCCCCUGGGUUCGAGCCUUGGCCACUGCGGAAUUUACAUGUGGGCUGCAGCAUCUGAGACCGAAGACCGUUACACGGUGAGCCACAUGGUGACGCCCUGGCAGCGUCCAUGCUCACUUCGGUCUCUAGUCUAGACCACUUCGGUGGGGCCAGGAUACUCGGUUAGCAAAAAAAAAAAAAAAACCAUCUUGUACCUCUUCCUGUUUUCGAGAAUGGUAUUUGAAAAUAGAAUUUUUUGGUAUCUGGUUUAACUUUUGCUAUAACAAGUCAGCGUCAAAUCUGAAAAAAGUGGGCUGUAAUCCGGUGAGACUUGUAAUUUUUAAUUAUUAAUGAAAGGUGUUAAAAAAAACACUUUUUUUUUACAGCAAAAGCAUUUACAGACUCAUGUAGACUCUGUAAACCAAAGUGGUAACUCUGCAUCCAUGUGUACGAUGAACGACGGUUGUAUCCGAGCACUGCGUGCCAAGCGAUCCGCCAUUAUAUUUUCCGUCUUAGGAACAUGAACGAUUUCUGAGUUGGUGAAGCUUCUUCUCAAAAGUUUAAUGUCCUCCAGGUAACUUCCAAAUGCUGGCCAUUCCUCUGGUUCUGAAACCAUCUUCACUAGUUGAGAACAAUCCGUUGCAAACGUGACCCGGGACUGUCUUAAGUUUUUCAUACAUUCCAUUGCCCAAAUUAAAACCUCCAUCUCCGCAUGAAGAGGUGAGAGACUUUCCCUUACAUUCCUUGCCCCUAACAAACCCUCAAACCCUGGAAGGGUACUGAGCCAGCCUUGUCCUGAAAAAGAAUCUUUAUCUUUCCAAGAACCAUCCGUGAAACAUCAUCUUCUUGUGGUCUCUAAGGUCGAUCUGAUCUGUACUUCAGGUGCCACCCUUGGAUUAUUGAUAUUCUGUACCUCAGCCCAAAGUGUUGACUCCAAUUCUGCUAAUUUGAGCGUCUCUCUCGGAUCAAUAUCUAUAUUACUGAAAACUUUAUUAUUCUGACCCUUCCAGAUGUACCAUAGUAUCCAUGCAAACUGAUGAUCCUCCAUUUUCGGGUUAACUCUCCAAAAUAAGUGAUCCAUAUUAGCGAAUAAAGAACCAAUAGGAAAAAGGUUUGGAUUUGAUGGAAUCUUAGAUAGUGCCCACACUUGCCGUGCCGGAGGACACUCGAAAAAAACAUGAUGUAUUGAUUCCUCCGGGUCUCCACACCGUUCACAAACUGUAUCUCCUUGUAUUCCUCUUGAUUUUAAAUUCUUUGUCACUGCUAUACAACCUGUCAACAACUGCCAUAAAAAAUGCCGUAACUUUGGAGGGCACUUCACUUUCCAGCAGAAUGCCUUGAGUGUAUCCACAUUGGGACCAUAAAAUUCUGGUGGUUUCUCCUUGUCCGGAUAGAUCCUUUCUACUUGAUACCCUGAUUGUACCGAGUAUCUCCCAUUCUUAGUGAAAUGCCAACCAUUUCUAUCAUCCAUCUGAUUUCUACUCAGAGAAAUACUUUCAAUCAAUUUUGCAUCGUUGGGCUCCACCAAAGUCCUAAGUGCCUGUAGAUUCCAAGUGUGGGAAUCCUGAUGAAUAAGGGAAUCCAAUGUAAGGUCCGGGUAACUGUUAUGAAGGUUUUUGUUAGCUGGUCUCGGGCGAGUGGAUGAGAUCCAAGGAUCAUUCCAUACUGAGAUAGAUGACCCUGCUCCCAUACUGAGUUAAAAAACACUUUUCAAAAAAAAAAAUCAACAUGUUUGAAGUUAUGUGUGUGUGUGUUUCUGUGUCUUUGGUUAUUAUUUUGAAAAUGUAGUGCUUUAUUAUAUUCACAUACUUUGCAAUUAUAUUUAGUUUAUUUCAAAAUAAUUUUGCCUUGAGAAAUCAUAAAAGAGUUAAAAAGAAGAAAAGGUUGACAAAUUCUGUUAAAUGGUUUCAUAUUUUAAAUUAAAUUGGUUUAAGUAUAGUAUAAUUGGAUAAAAGAAUAAAAUAAUAUGUGGUCAGUUUUAAACACAUCUUAUAUAUUAAAACAGAAGUCACAACUUUGAUUCAUGUGAUUUUUUAAAAAAUAAACCCAAUGGACAUAUUCUUAAAAAGUCAUGUUACAUUUAAUCUAUAAUUUUAUCAUUUAAAUUUUGGGCCUACAAGAAAUUUUUAUUGGGUUAUCAAUAGUUGGAUUUAAACAAUAGAUGAUCCAUUGGAUUUAUAAGUAGUAUAAAUUAAAUAGAUAUAAUUCAAUGUUGUAAUACUAUACCUCCAUAUUUAAAUAUUUGUCGGUGUUAACCUUUAAAAUUAUAAAGAUUUUUUUUAAAUAACAAAAAUUAUAUUAUCUAAAAAUGAUUAAUCUUUACUACCUUAAACCAAUGAAAAUAAAUUUUAAACUAUAUAGUUUAUUUUAAAAAUUAAACAAAAAUUAAAUGUUAAUUAUUUACUCGAUAAUAUAAAUCUAUGAAGCGAAAAGUUUAAUUUUUUAAAAACUUUCUAAAUUUGUGAAAUGUUACUAUAUCUUUGAAUAUGACAAUAAAACAAUAUUUUACUAAUCUUUAUAUAUAUAGUUACGAUUUUAAUAAUGAAAUAAUAAUCCGAAAAUAUAUAUAUAGAAGAAAAUACAAAUACAUGUGAAAGUUUGAAACAAUCUAUUUAAAGAAAAAAAUAUAUCGUAAACUUAUUAUGUUUUAAAAAUUGAUAGACACAUAUAUAUUAUAAUAUAUACUAAUUUAGAAUUGAAAACAAAAUAUUUAUAUAAAAUAAAUGAAAACAAAAACCUGUGCGGUUGCGCGGAUCGAGAUCUAGUAUAUAUUAUUUUAUAAAUAAUUUGUUGUAAUCGAUUUUCUACGGUUCAGCACUGUAAUGACAUGUGGUUAAAGGUUCCGUCCAAAUGUCAACCAUACGAAACAAUAGCAACAUGUGAAAACCGAGACAUAUAGUAGACAUAUAUCAAGCUGUAAAAUGUAUAGGGUCUAGGUUCCCCUUCACACUCUAAGAGUAUGAUUAGAGUAUGAUUGGUAAGCAAAAGAGUAACUCAGAGUAAUAAAAGUAGAGUAAUUAAGUGGAAAAGUGACAGAGUAACUGAAAGCUAAAAUGAGAGUAGUUGUUUUCUUCUUUAAAAAUCAAGAAGGAUAAAAGUAACAUAUUUACUCUAAAGAAAUAGUAACCAGCGAGAAUUUAAUAAAAAAUAUUAAAUCUUAUUUCACCUGAUCGGUACACGUUUGAGCUAAAUUUAGAGUAAUUGCUUUUUGGCUGGUGUUAUGAAAUAACUUAUAAUUUAUAGUAUCGAGAAAUUUAAAUAAGAGUAGAAUUUAAUACCCGUAGGAAGCAAAUAACACUAGUAUAAGGGAGAGAGUUUAUUAUAAGGAAGAAGAAGAAGAUGUAAUGAUUCUUUGAUUAUAAACUCUUGUUCUUGUUUUUGGUGUACAAAAGAGUGAGAUGAGUGAUGGUAUUUAUAGUGAACAACAAUACAUAAAAUAACAAAGAUGGUGCUUAAUUUGGUAAAUGAGUGGGUGAUCAUAGUGUUUGAUGAGUAGAUGAUCAUAGUGCUUGAGUUGGUAAAGGGGUGGAUGAUCAUAGUGUUUGAGUUUGGUAAAUAAGUGGAUGAUCAUUUCAAUGCUUAUCUUAUAACACUCCCCCUUGAUCAUCCAUCUUGUAUUACGUGGUGCCUCGUUAAAAACCUAGUCAUGGAAAACCCAAUGGGAAAAACCGUAGUAAAAGUAAAAAGAGUACAACUACGUAAGCUCCCCCUCGAAUGAGUAGUCAUAGAACCUUUAGAACAAUGAUAGAUUUUCAUCUCUCAAAUUGUAACAUUCUCUUUGGGUGUCUAUCUUUUGUAUGUUCUUUGUUGCCUCGUUAAAACCUUGUCAUGGAAAAACCCAAUGGGAUAAAAAAAAAAACCAUGAUAAGGAAAAAGAGUACAACCACACUUACUAUCAUAUUUCUUUCUCUGGAAACAAUAUCUUCAGGAUAUGCAUUCCAAUCAACUCUCUUCAGAGAAUUAAGCUUAAGAGAAUAAACUCUAUUCAUUUCUAUUAUGAUAUCUAGGGCCUUUAGACUUCUUGUCCAUAAUUCUCUUUUGACUUAGACAAUAGUUUAUUGGUCUAUUUGGAUUUCAAACCAAAUUUCUUACAUAUAAUCUUAUAGAAAUUCGUCUCGUACAUACAAAUUAUUCAUUUGUAACUAUAGAAGUUACUAUUAUGAUUUUCUUUCUUUUCAUAUGAAAUUACAUCUUUCAGUAAUGAAAAAGAUUAAUAAUUUUCUUAAAUAACACUCUUACGUAUGGUAUUUCAGGACCAAACAUAUAUGAGCGUCUUAAAUAAAAUAUUUUAAGGAUCUUUAUGAUAACAUCUCAGUUUUAGAUCUCCAGUUUAGAAUACAUAAAAACAAUAUAGUAUUGUCAAGAGUUUUCUUCCAAAAUAUAAUUUUUCUAUAACUCUUCAGGAGUUUUGAUUAUAUUCAAAUCAUGAUUCUAUUGAUUUAUAAUCUCUUGAUAAAUACAAAUGGAUACAUUUGUUAACCUUAUAAUAUUUCAUAUAUCCCAUAAAAUAGUUUGUUUCAAUUCGAUCGAAUAUGCAGAGUUCCCGGGAACAUGAUUUUGAUAUCAUCAAUCCUUCAUGGAUUAUACUUUCAGGGAUUAACAUUUUUCAAGUGGAUUGUUUUAUUCAAGUUCUUCCUUUAUUACCAGACUAUAAGGAACUUGAAACUAGUUGCAUCUACCAUAUGAAAUUAUGUCUCUUCACAAUCAAUUUCAUAUUGAUCCUUCUUUGUGUGCAACGGUUCAUUUACAUCUCACUUGUUUUACACCUUUUAGUGUAUGGACUACUGGUCCAAAUACUUCUCUAUUUCACAAGAAGUUUAUAUCUUUGUCUAUUGCAUCUUUCUGAUUUGGCCAAUCAUUUCUUUGUGUACACUUUUCAAUAGACUUUCUUUCAUGAUCCUCUUUCUCAUUUAUUAUAUCAACUGCUACUUUGCAUGUAUAAUAUCAUCGACGUCAAUUUUCUUAUCGGUUCCAUUUUGUUUCAUACAUGACAUAACUUAUUGAGAUCUCUUCAUUUGUCUCAGGUACCUGAAUUUUCGUCAGUCAUGUUUAAUUUCUCUUCUGGAGAUCAUACAAAACUAUAUUGCCUCGUUUUGACCAUUAUCAAUAUAUGCUCCUUUUCAUUUACGAGGAUUUAUCUUGGGAACCAAUCUGUCUACCACGCUGCAGGCGUGACUAGCAGUUUGAUAUUGUUCUUGUAGAACAUUUAUUCUUAUUGGAGCAUUUACAGCUGGUAUAUGUGACUUGAUCACUAUAUUUAUAUGGGUCGUGUCUGGCAACUGCUUUAGUAAGUUUUGAAAUGAAUUAUCUUUUGGACUUCUAUUUCACAUUGUGUUUAGCCCGAGGAUCAAUGAUAAUUCAUUUCAACUUAUUUUCUUUUCCAGCUGUUUAUUUUCUCCCCCUUAUGUUGGAAGUACUAACUCACUUUUAGAAUUCAUGUGUAGCCUUACUUAUAUUUUUCGGGGAUGGCUCUGGAUUCUUAAGUGUCAAUAGAGAUUUAUAUCCAACAUAUAUUUCCAACCUCAUUUGAAAACACAUCUUCAUUUGAAGCUCUGUGGCGGAGCAACAUCCAACAUUCUUAGAUGAAAAUGAUUGGUUUCUGAUCCUAUACCAAUGAUGGGGAGAACUAGUGAAUAUUUAUUGGCUUGAUGCGAACCAGUGUUGCUCAAAAUGUUUAGCACUUAUCUCAGUGAAUGUGCUAUAGUCGUUAAAGACUUUAAGAAGUGAAUUCACCAAUAUUAUAAAAAUGCAUAGUGGGUGAUCAGUCCACUAACAUCUUCGUUAUUUAUGCCAAUAUCUUAUUUUGGCUGGUGAAAACCAUAUUACCCUUUUAUCUUAUGGGUAAGCAACAUAUGUCAAAUCAUUCGGAAGAAUCUUCGGGUUCUUAUAUGACUAUGCAUAUGACCUUUAAGUAUAUAUUUGCAUUAUUAAUGAACCAAAAUGGUCUAACUGAUUCAUGCCAAAUGUAAACUUCUAGUUUACUAUACAUUUACUUCAUUAUACUAAUCUUUGUGUAGUACAAUAUAUAAGAGGCUGUAGACAUUUUCUCUAAAAUACUUAUACUGCUUUGAGAAUUAUUUCUGAUUGAAAUGUAUAUAUCAUUUCGUUUGCUUAUUGUCUCAACAUAAGUGUCUCAAAAUCUCAUGGAUUUACUUUGAGAAAAAUUCAUCAAUCUUAGUUUUAGUGUAAACAUAAUCUUCUGGAUGUUUGACUUAUCAAAAAAAAGUGAGAUUCUUUAACUCUUCCCCUCGAGAUGAUAAUACUACAGGUUUAUCAAUCUCGAAUGUAUCUCAUUUUCUUAAUCAACAACAUAUCCUACAUGGGUUAUGUAUUUUUCGUAGAUCCUUUUAACUUUUGAUACUUAUAAAAAUACAAUAUCUUAAGAACUUUAAAUUGCAUUCUUAAGAACUUUAAAUUAAAUUUUUAUGUGCAGUAAUACUAUGUAUACUUCUGGAGCAUCAUAUAUAUCCUAUUUUUAAGCAUUCUAUAAGUUUUUACUACCUUGUAUUGUAAACACAAUAAAUUUUCUUUCAUCUUCAGAUGAAUUCAUAAUUUCUUUUCUUUAUUACCAUGUUUAUUUUCUCAACUUUAAGUGAGAGUAUGAGUUCUAUAAAGAAACUCUUUGGACCUUGACCUCAUUUAUGCUCAUGUCUAAAACCACUAUUUAUGAGUUUUUUAAAUGUCAUAUUCUCUUCAGGAGAAUGAAUCAUAAUCAACUAGACGUGAUUUAUCAAUAGAUAUUUUUCAAUAUAUAUGCAUCAUAAAAAAAUUUCUUGAAGAAAUUUUACUUUUAAACUUAACAUCUAACAUAGUUGGCUUUAUUUACAGACUUCAGAUCUUGUAAUCUUUAAAUGCAAAAUACAAAAUGAGCUUUAGGUAAUCACUUCAGGUGAUAAUACCUUUUUUAUAUAUAUUAUCUUCCAAAACUUAUGGAUCUUUUAGAGUCAAGCUUUAAACUUAAAAUCCUCAAUAUAAAUGGUAAUAAAAUCAAAAUAUUUCAAAUAUAUAUAAAUAUGUAUUAACAAAGGUGUCUUAUUAUAUCAGAAAAUAAAUAAAACUUUCAUAGUAAUUAUUAUAUAGACUAUAUUAUUACUCUCAUGCUUUUUAACAAAGUUUAACCUAUCAAUCAAUUUAAUGAACAAAUUUAUAUCACUGCCAACUUCAUGCAAAUUGAUUUAUCUAAUCAAGUUUGUUAAACUUGUAUAUAAAGCAUAAAAAUACUUAUCUUAUAAACAGAAGUAUAUCGUCAAUGAAAGUUUCAGCCGUUCACGUUUCUGAAUUGGCUGAUAACUUGUACAUAUCUUUCCGAGAGAAUACACAAUCCUGAAAACUUUAAAUUUUGCUCAUAUAAACAUGGCCAUUACAUUAGUAAAUAUCAACAUAUAAUCCAAAUUCUUUUAUGAUAUUAGACCAAAGACUAAUCGACUACAAAACUAACCGAUUACAAAUAAUUUCUUUUAUGAUGUUAGACCAUGAAUCAUAAAGUAUGUUUCCUUAAUACCAUUAAACCAUGAAGCAUAUUAAAGUAUAAUAAGCAAAAUUUAAUUCAUCAAAUAACUAUUAUUCUUACAUAUAGACAAGCGUUGAUAUAUAUAUAUAUAUAUCAUCGUCUAAAAUGACUAUAUAUAUAUAUAUAUUAUUUUUUUUUUAGAAUUUCUCAAUUUUAAAAUGAACCAUUUAUUAUGAACUUCAUAAUUUAAAAACCGUUUACAUUAAUCAUACAAGCAAUAACAAGUAAAUAUAAUGUAAACAAACAUAAGGCGAUGUUAAUGCCAAAAUAUUCAUCAGUGGUUCCUCCAACAAAAAUAAAAUACAUAGCCAAAAAAAUAUAAAUCGCACAUAAAAUUAAAGCUAAGCGACUCAUCUUCAUUGCGAUUGAAAAACCGAAAUAUGGCGAUUUGAAAAUUUUGAGAGGAGAUGAAAUGUUUUGGAUGAGUGAAUUAAGUGAAGAAUGAGUUGUAUUUAUAGAUGAAAAUACUGUUCAUAGCCGUUUGAAAAAGAGAAAAAUUUUGAAAAUUUUUCUUUGUGACCGUUGGGGUUAAAUCGAGUGCACUAAAAAUCAGUCUGAAAAUAUCGUAUUAAACGAUCAAUCAAAUCUAUUAAAUUUCAUAAAAUUUUGAUAAAAAUAAAAAUUAUGGUGAAUAAAUAUUUUUUGUUGUGAUAAUAAAUUAUGCGACGGCUCAGCUGGUCAAAGCAGAAUAAUAAAUAAAUUAUACGGCGGCUCGGCCGACCAAUUAGCAAUAAACAAAAUAUAAGGUGGCUCAGCCGACCAGUUAACAACAAACAGAAAAUAAAGGCGGCUCGGCCGUCCAGUUAACAACAAACAGCAAAUAAAGGCGGCUCGGCCGUCCAGUUAACAAUAAAUAGAAAAUAAAGGCGGCUCGGCCGUCCAGUUAACAACAAACAGCAAAUAAAGGCGGCUCGGCCGUCCAGUUAACAAUAAAUAGAAAAUAAAGGCGGCUCGGCCGUCCAGUUAACAACAAACAGAAAAUAAAGGCGGUUCGGCCGUCCAGUUAACAAUAAAUAGAAUAUAAGACGACUCGGCCGACCAAUAAAUUAAUUAAAAUACUAAUAAAUAAUAUAGGCGGUAUUCCGGCCAUUAUAACAUAAUAUAAAUAAUAGUACAUGCGGUAUACCGACCAUUAUAGCAGAGUAUAUAUGAUACAAUAAAUUUUACCGAAUUGCAGAACGAUCGUGCUGAUAACGUGUUAUGAAAUAACUUAUAAUUUAUAGUAUCGAGAAAUUUAAAUAAGAGUAGAAUUUAAUACCCGUAGGAAGCAAAUAACACUAGUAUAAGGGAGAGAGUUUAUUAUAAGGAAGAAGAAGAAGAUGUAAUGAUUCUUUGAUUAUAAACUCUUGUUCUUGUUUUUGGUGUACAAAAGAGUGAGAUGAGUGAUGGUAUUUAUAGUGAACAACAAUACAUAAAAUAACAAAGAUGGUGCUUAAUUUGGUAAAUGAGUGGGUGAUCAUAGUGUUUGAUGAGUAGAUGAUCAUAGUGCUUGAGUUGGUAAAGGGGUGGAUGAUCAUAGUGCUUGAGUUUGGUAAAUAAGUGGAUGAUCAUUUCAAUGCUUAUCUUAUAACAGCUGGAAUAUUAUCGCUAUACACGGUAUUCAAUCAAAGCCUAAGAGUGUGAUCGAAUAGUAUCUAUAGAGUAAAUAAAUUAGAGUAAAUGUUUUUUUCAGCUGAGUUACUCUAUUUUCUACCAAUCAGAUAAAAUUGUCUUUCAGCUCAUUUACUCUAAAAUGGUAGAAAUAUAGAGUAAUAUUUUUUCUACCCUAGACAAACUAAAAACUUUACUCCUAAUUUCGCUCUUUAAUUUUUUUCCUUUUCCACGUUUACUGUUCUACUUUAUUGUGCUAAUAAAUACCAAUCAAAGUCUAAUUUUAUUUCUCAACAUCAUCUAGUAUUAGCCAAAUAUGAGUACAAGAUUAAAAUCUUAAGAGAUUUAAACCCAACAUACAACUAGUAAAAUCUAGUAUCAUCUGAAAACAAUUAAAAAAAUUCUACACUACCUAGAUUAAACUCAACACAGAAUCAUUAUUUUCUGUUUUUUAAAUACUUACAGUAUUCUAACAAAAUCUAUUGUUUACUAAUUUAUUUCUUAGAUUAUACUUUACUAAUUACCCCAAGUAAAAAAAAUUCUAGAUCCAUCACCUCUAAACACUACAGACAUCUUAGCGAUAUCACUACUAAAAAAAGUUAGGCAUUCAUGGCACAAUAAUAUAGCUCGUUUUACUGAACUGUUAUCGUGGAUGAGUUUGAAAUUUCCGAAUUCUAUAACCGCAUUAGAUAAAUGCUAUGAAAAAAAAUUAGUAAGCGAGGCUUAAAAUCAGGUUUUCUACCGCACAUUUAGUAAAAAUCACAAAUUCUAUAACCGCAUUAGAUAAAUGCUACGAAAAAAAAUUAGUAAGCGAGACUUAAAAUCAGGUUUUCCACCGCACACUUAAACAUUAGUAAAAAUCACAAAUGUUCAUUCUCUCAUCUCUUGUUUUCCCUCUCUCUUAUCUCUCAUUUCCCUCUCUCUCUCUCUUAGAACCCUAAGAGAAAAUGAGUUUGAUUCUACGUCUCCUAAACCUUAAUUCGCUUCUCCCUCUAACUUUAACACAAUUUCGAUCGAUCUAAAAAUGUAAAAAUUAAUAUUCAAAAAAAGAAUCACAAAAAAAUCCUCUUAAGCACCACAACCCUCUCUCUCGAUUCACAAAUAAUCAACCAAGAGUCAAGCGUCUCUCUCUCAAUCAUGAUGAAUGCUUCGAGCAACAUACAGAGAUGGCAUAAUCCCUAUCAUCAUUCGCAUCAUCUUUCUCAGAUCCAGAGUCCGAUUCAGAUAUCAUCAACGAACUUGUUCAUAUCAACCUCCGAAUCAGGUUUAAUCCAUCUCGACGACCAUGGAAUCUCCAAAUUCAUCAUCUCCUCUCACACUCCACGACCUUACAAAACCGCGACCUCAUCUCCGCUUCUUUCCUCGAGUUCUCUCAGUCCCAAUCUUCGCUACGUCCGACGCAAACUAACUCUGUCUCCAAGAGCUUUGCCGCUGUUGAUGGGGGUGGUCUCAUCGUCAACCUAUUUGCAGGCUGGCCUAGAAAAGGGAGAUAACUGUGUUAUGGUCUGUUUGUGUUGGAAAGUGACAACGAUUCUCUCGCUCAGUUUCUACCAGGUAAGUGUCAUUCUCUAUCUGUUCCAUCUUCUUUUCGUCUCUCUCGCUAGUCUCUGUCAUCUCUCUUUCUUGGUGCAUCUAGGAUUGGAUUUGUAUUAUGUCUCUAGAUGCAAUGACUUUUAGGUUUUGAACUUUUAUGAUUACCAUGUAAUUACUUGAAUGCCCUAGUUCUCUAUCCCUUUAGCUAAAGAAAGGACCUUUGGUAGGUUGAGAAAGGUGGGGAAGAGUAGCCACCGUAUCUAACACCAACCUCCUGCACCUGCGACAAAGCUAGAGCAACGUCAACUUCCGUCUCUCGCGAAGUUCAUCUGCCUAACGACGAAGCCCAGAGACGAGCCGUUUUGAUUGGGCCGAGAUGAAGCUCUGCGCCUGAUGAGUUUCUCUGCCGCUUCUCAGAUCCGUCUUCGCCGGUCUCUGUCUUCACCGGAAUCACCAAAACCACCUCUCGUCGCCACCACCACCAGUGACCUCUCUCUCUAUCUCUCUCUGGCACUCUCUCUUUCUCUGUGUUUUUAAUUUGUUUUUUGUUGUUCAAUAGAAGGUGAUUUUUGUGUUCUUAUUUUGUCCUUGUUGUUCAGUAGAACGUAUUUUCGUCCUAAUACGCCCAUGUUCUUGUUUUGCUAGAUUAAUUCUAAUUUCUCUAAGGCUCUCAAUCUCUCAUAAUAAGGCUGGUUCAUUGUAUUCCAGAUCAAACUCUUUUGUGUCCUUAUGUUAUAAUGUUUUGAUGACAAAUGAAAAGAGCUCAUAUAAUCUAAUUGAAUAUAUAUGGUUCUAGUGAAUAAAUGCCAAGACGAUUACUGGAAAUUAAAUGAUGCAACAAAUUUAUAGAUAAUUUCAUACUAUCAUAUAAUUAUUAUUAGAAUUACACACUAGGAAAUAUAUUAUCCCAAAGACAGCAAUUUCCAAACCACAAACACACAUAAUUCGAUUUAAUAAGAUACCAUAAUCAGCCACAGGUAGAUAAAUUGGCUGUUUUCGUAGGUCUCACAAACCUUUAACCACACAAACACACCACGAGAGUGAGAGCAUUAGUUACGCGGAAUUAACUGCGUAGAAGUAGAGCUCAUCGGUUCGGUUGUUGGUCGGACGUUUUCCCCCAUGCAUAAGGAGACCUUUCUUUCCAUACACGGUGGCAGUCGUGUAACCGGGCCAACCGAGUUGACCCGGUUCAGCUCCUCCUCCAAACCUCUCCCACACCAGUGUCUCAGUGUCCAAAGCAAACCCUUCAUCAGACAACGUCCCUGGUCCCAAAUGUGCCUUUGGGUCCGGCCAGGUCUCUCCUCCAAAUAUCAGUAUAUAUUUCCCCACAACCGCAUGUCCAAACACGCUCCUCGCAGAAGGUUUGUCUCCUUUAGUCUCCACUUCGGUCCAUUUUUGAGUAGCCGGGUCAUAAAACUGCACUUGGUCGGACUCAUAGUCAUUUUUUCCAUUAGGAUCAGGAGAAGUUGCAAACCCGUAAACCACCCAAAUCUUUCCUUGCACCACAACGAAUCCAGCUCCUCCUCUUCUCUCGAACCUUGGGAACUGCUCACCAGGAUCAGGAAGCUGAGACCAUUUCCCAUCAGCAAUGUUAUAGGCCUCGAUGGUCCUGAACCUAAAGGGUGUCUUGUUGGUCCCUCCUUUGCUCACUCCACCGAAUACAUACACAUGGUUUUCAUCCGAAGCCAUGGAGUGGUAAGUUCGAGCCUCGGGUCCUCCCUCUUGAUCCAGAAUGGUCAGUU
rnacentral:lncRNA from 1 species